CACCAGGGAGGAUAACGUUGCGUAAGCAACGGCCCGAAGGGCGAGGCGCAGCCGAGUAAUCCUUCCGGAUGCACCU
rnacentral:sRNA from 1 species